rnacentral:rRNA from 1 species
UCUUUAUGGAGAGUUUGAUCCUGGCUCAGGACGAACGCUGGCGGCGUGCCUAAUACAUGCAAGUCGAGCGGAGCACUUCGGUGCUUAGCGGCGGACGG